UAAUGCAGUAUGGAUGGUGGACAGUGGACAACAGCUAGCAGGAACGUGUACA
rnacentral:sRNA from 1 species